rnacentral:lncRNA from 1 species
GGGGGGUGAGAAAGAGAAAUUGGGAGGAGGAGAAGGAAAUUGGAGCGGGAGGAGAGAUUGACAUUCAUCACACACAAUGCACCCCUUGUACACAGAAAAACACACAAUGCAUUACACACACACACACACACAUACACAAGCAAUGCAACCGUUACACACAAUGCAUCCCUUACACACACAGAAACACACAAUGCAUUCAUUACACACACUCAAUGCACCCCUUACACACAUUCAAUGCAUCCCAUACAUACACAGAAACACACCUUGCAGCCCCUACACAUACAAAC